rnacentral:rRNA from 1 species
CCCUUAGAUGUCCUGGGCCGCACGCGCGCUACACUGAUGCAUUCAACGAGUUUUACCUUGGCCGAGAGGCCUGGGCAAUCUUUUAAACCUGCAUCGUGAUAGGGAUAGAUUAUUGCAAUUUUUAAUCUUGAACGAGGAAUUCCUAGUAAACGCAAAUCAUCAAUUUGCAUUGAUUACGUCCCUGCCCUUUGUACACACCGCCCGUCGCACCUACCGAUUGAAUGGUCCGGUGAAGCCUCGGGAUUGUGGCCAGUUCACUUUAUUGGGAGUUGGCUGUGAGAACUUGUCUAAACCUUAUCAUUUAGAGGAAGGUGAANUCGUANCA